UUUCAGGGGGCAUUCUUCACCUAAAUGGUAAAAUAUUUACCGGUGUUUACGGGAGCAAUGUCUUCCCAGAAGAAAUAAAAAAUGGAGUUACAGAACGUAUGUUGAGGGUGUAUGCUGCAGGACAGCUUUGUGAAUUGAAGGCAGAAAAUGAUACAUUCUACGGAUUCGAGUUAAACAACGGAGGAUACAGUACCUAUGGUUACAUAAAAUGUUUAAUGAAAGGAACAUUU